rnacentral:rRNA from 1 species
CAGUAGCCGCGGGAAUACGUAGGGGGCUAGCGUUAUCCGGAAUUACUGGGCGUAAAGGGUGCGUAGGUGGUUUCUUAAGUCAGAGGUGAAAGGCUACGGCUCAACCGUAGUAAGCCUUUGAAACUGAGAAACUUGAGUGCAGGAGAGGAGAGUAGAAUUCCUAGUGUAGCGGUGAAAUGCGUAGAUAUUAGGAGGAAUACCAGUUGCGAAGGCGGCUCUCUGGACUGUAACUGACACUGAGGCACGAAAGCGUGGGGAGCAAACAGGAUUAGAUACCCCCGUAGUCCCUGUCUCUUAUACA